rnacentral:tRNA from 1 species
GGCUCUGUAACUCAGUGGUAGAGUGCGGCUCUCAUGAGGCCGAAGCCGGGAGUUCAAUUCUCCCCAGAGCCA